AUGGCAUUGAAGUCAGGGGAAACAUCCCUUGACUGCUAAGGGGGUAAAGCAUGGAUGACUUAGGAGUGCCCAAGGACAGAGCCAACACCAUGCUGUGCUCACCCUGCCUGUGUGAAAGGAACAGGGGGUGCAAAGGGAAAGGAACAGGGGAACAGUUUGACUUGUAAUAUGGCACAUUGGAGUUAGAGAUGUAACAAUUUUGUGCUAUAGGUUUUAGUCUCUGUGAAUUGUGAGGUCUGGAAGCUUUCUGUAACAGUCUUUCCAAAACAAAGCUGACAGUGCUGAGAACAAGCAGAACUACUCUAGACCUGGAGGAGUUGCAUGGCCAAGUUUCAGGCCAGCUUGAUCUGUCUGGAGUACCCCACCAAAAAUUUGGCUUUGGUUCACAGCUGACCCUAAACUGACACACAUACUGCCUUGCACCUGAGGCUCCUUCUUGGCUUACCAUGGUUCAGGGAGACUCUGGACACGGGAUCCAAGCUGUCUCCUUCUUUGUGGGAUGAUCUUUAACACUUAUGCCAAGAGGGCUCCCAUCCUCACACACCCUUGUGCCAGCUGCUGGGAUUGCAGUGUGCCUUCGGCAGCAUGACAGACUGCUGGAGCUACUCAGAGCUGCUGGAGAAGCUGCAGAGAAACAGAAAACGUCUCGGGCACGAGGGAUGAGGAGAAGCCAAGGCAGUAACCUGCCAACAGUGCCCAGUGCCAAGGCAUGCAAAUCUCAUGAUCGAGUUGAGACCUACAGAAGUAACCCUUAGAUCACAGUUCCUCUUCAAGAGCCAAGUCACAAAAGAAGAACAAGAGUUCCUGUCAAUAUCUCUUUGCAAUGACUACACUGCUUUGGUUUUUGAGUCAGAUUCCUGAGGAUCAAGAAAGAAGCUGCUGUAACACAGCUGAAGUCACAGAUAUUCAACAGUGAUGGUAUUAAACAGCUGAAUAGAGCAAGAGCAAGAGAGAAGGUUGAAGCUCCAGAGGGCUUGAGAUCAAAACAUAAGGAACAUGGAAAACAUGAGAGAUUGGUUUUAAAUACUAGAAAGGACCAAUGGAGAGAAUGAAUCCAUAUUACAGUAAUUUCACUGAUCCACUUUACAGUAUUUUUUUUAUUUGUGAGAUAAAUUAUUCUUGUAAUUUUAAAAAGUAUUUCUUUAUUCCUGCUGGGAGGACCUAGUUGACAUCAGUUGUAAAUGUGUUAGGACAGAAAAAUCAAAGUGUUUAACCGCUGCGAGGCACUCUCAUAAUAUCAUAAUGCCUUUUGAAGCGGUAAUUCAAUGAUUGAUCAGAGGAGAUCUAAUUAACUGACUACAUUAUAUGAAAAAAACAACCAUGGAGAAAGCUGUGAUACUCUGGGUAUCACAUUCAUCAGAAUCUUUGCUCUGCUGCAUGGGUGUGGGUGUUCUAAGGAAAAGCCAAACCUUCAUUCAAUGGAUCACCUAAAAAUAAACCUUAAGAUUAAAAGUUUCCUUUCUCUUUCUAUCUUGCCUUUCCCAUAUUAUUGCUUUGCAUACUUCUAGACAUUUUAGGAAGUGCAUAGACCAUAUUUGUCACUAAAAUAUUCAGCAUUAAGCUAAUUGCUUAAAUCUAAUAUUCACCCACACACUAUCUAUAUGGGGGUGAAAUUUAGAUGUGAACAUUACCUUAAUAAAAUGCCUUCUAUUCUUGUUUCCCA